rnacentral:rRNA from 1 species
UUGACGGUACCCUACUAGAAAGGAGCCGCUAACUUCGUGCCAGAAGCGUCGGUAAUACGGGGGCUCCAAGCGUUAUCCGGUGUUAUUGGGCGUAAAGAGUCGUGUAGGUGGUUGGGUAAGUUAUCUUUCAAAUAUCUUUGCUUAACAAAGAGGAGGGGGAUAAUACUGCUCGACUAGAAUUUUCUCAAGGGAGAUCGGAACUGAGGGAGGAGUAGUGAAAUGCGUUGAUACCCUCGGGAACACCAGUGGCGUAGGCGGAUCUCUGGGAGAAGAUUGACACUGAGACACGAGAGCUAGGGGAGCGAAGCAGAUUAGAGACCUGCGUAGUCCUAGCCGUAAACGCAUGCUUGCUAGCUGCAUGAAUCUACCUUCGGGUGGUAUCGUGUGGCGAAGGUAACCCGUUAAGCAAGCCGCCUGGAAAGUACGGCCGCAAGGCUGAAAUUCAAAGGAAUUGGCGGGGAGGCACACAACCAGUGGAACAUGUGGUUUAAUUCGAGACUAACCGAAGAACCUCACCAGGGUUUGACAUGUAGCUGCACGUCUUAAGAAAUUAAGACUCUCUUGAAGGUGCUACACAGGUGCUGCAUGGCUGUCGUCAGCUCGUUCCGUGAGGAGUGCCCUUAAGUGGGACAACGAGCGCAACCCCUAUUACAUGUUAGAAAUGUCAUGUAAGACUGCCUUGCCAUUUGGCGGGGAGGAAGGAGGGGCAGACGUCAAGUCCGCAUGGUCCUUAUGCCCUGGGCUACACACAUGUUACAAUGAGUACGGCAAUGAGUCUGUCGCGAGCACGUAAGUGUAAGCUAAUCUCUUAAAUGUACUCUCAGUGGGGAUUGAGGUCUGCAACUCGACCUCAUGAACACGGAAUUGGUAGUAAUCGCGGGUCAGCUAUACCGCGGUGAUACGUUCUUGCCUCUUGCACACACCGCCCGUCAAACCAGCAAAGU